ensembl:lncRNA
GGGACGAGGAGUGGCCUUAAGAUGAGGUUCUUCUGUCUCUUAAGGGACUUGUAGUGUAAAGCCUUCAGGCUCCAGAGAUGAACACUUAACGGCACAAUGACAGUCUGGUCUGGGUUAAAACAAAAAGGGAGGCAUUAUUUUGGAUUCUUCGUGGCGAGGCACAUUCCGAGGAUGGGAAGGUCACAGACAGUACGUGGUCAGAGGAGUUUUGUUGGAGACCGAAUUCCCCAGAGAAGAUGCAUGGAUGUGCACCUAAAUGCCACUGGAGAGAUGAUCAACUACAGACACCCUCUGCAUCCCCGCCUCAUUAUACCUCCAUACUACGAGCCUCUUUAAUACCCAGCCUUCCUAAAGAGCAGGUAAUGGCAGAGUGGGCUAAAGGGAUGCGGAAUUAAGCCGUUUUACACCAAAGGGUAAUUUGGUUUGAUAAAUGUUCCAUCAUGGCUAACUAAUAAUAGAUAUUUUAGGGAGGGGGGAUGAAGGUGUCGGGGGGUGUUCCAUCGCACUAGGAAAAAGGUGGCGACGUUAUUAAUGGCACCGACCACGCUAUGUCUCACGCAGGGUUACGGCACAAGGUCAAAGCAUGUUUCACUGAAUUAAAAGCCAUUUUGAGCUAUGGCACUCCUAAUCAGCUCAGACCUAGAUGUGCAUAGCUCAGGUAUAAUGAGGCACCAAUGAAUUUAAAUAAACAGGGUGAAUAUGGUGAUUUAUAAAGGCA